AAGCCACCAGGCUGUAACCUGGGACAAACGAGGUGUGGAUCUGUCUCCCAUUUUAGUGCCUCUGCAACGGAGGCAGGGACACAACCUCUGGCUCAGGACAUAAACCACAACCGCCCCUUCCUUACUCCCGGAAGGCACGUGCCUGCGUGCCGCAGCUCGCUCCUUCUCCAGCACGACGGCCGCAACAGCCACGAGCUUAAGGAAAGCGUUUGCGGGGGGUUCACUAACGGCGAGGCCAAGUUGGUAGGGGCAGGGACGCAGCCUGCCUCCGGAAAGCAGAAGCACAGGGGUACGUACCCAAACUCACAUCCGUGGAGAAUACCGCACACAAGGCUUCUGCCGAGAGGUAGAAGAGGACUAAGACGACCAAAAGAGCGAAGACGCUGCACAGAAAGCACAGAGAAAAGCAAGGACCAGAACUGGGGCCACCAGGAACCAACUCGCAGUCCUUGUUGCUGGACCAUCUGUCUCCAUCUCAGCUGCGUGUCUAGUAAGAGGUCAGCAGCAGCAGCGGCGGCGUCACUCCCAACUCUGCGGCUUGCAGCUCGGUCCUGGUCACAGGCUGCUGGGCUGCUCUCAGCUGGCCCAAGCACGAACACCAAUGAGCUGAGAACCUGA
rnacentral:lncRNA from 1 species